UUUGCAGUCAUGUACAUGAAGAGCCAAAGGAACUGCAAAAAACACACAUAAGGCCCAAGAACCUCUUCUUGCGACAAGCGGCCAACGAGUUCUCACGGCGUCUUGGUGCUCCACAAGACUGCUCCAACAUUAAACGCCCGUUUCAAAGAACUUACCUGUGUCUGUGUUGUCGUGACGAGAGCUACAGUGAGAACUCGCCUGCUCAACACGGGUGGGAGAGACAACGAAUCUACGGCGGCUAACAACAUACGAAGAUCCAGUGCACCAGAUAAGCAAAGCUCACAUCCAUCAGAACCACUGCCGAGUCACAGGCGGCAAAGAAAGACCUUUUGGUCUAAAGUACAGUUGCUUAGUGAGCAUUGAAGAAAAGCAAGGCACCUGCUUCUUCCCAAUGGCAUCCUGGUCUCUACUCAACUUGACACUCCUCAUCGACACUAUCCUGUUGACCAGGGUGAGUAAAACUGUAAAUUCAAGGGAGUCACCAUGCUCUCCAAGGGUCUUGCAAAGAUCCUGGAUGUACCAGGAGCCCUCUAGUACAUUCCUGAAGGAAAAGUAACCUAGACAACAAAAAAAAAAAUGCCAGGAUAAUUAUUGGCUUUAGGACAUAUUAAAUGGUUGAAACUCAUCCCAGUUUCUCAAAGGGAUAAUCAUUGUACAUUAGAUCUGUCCUCAAAAAGUAUAGUAAGAGUUUUAAACAUCCUGGUCCACUCACCUUCAGCCACAGAGUAGCACAUGAUGAAAUCAGCUCCAGCAGGAAGUGUGUGUAUGGCCCCGGCAUCAACCAUCAACUCAUCUUCCUUUGGCUCACUUUCACCACCACAGACAGUCACAGGAUUAUCAAACUCUUUUCCACGACAUGCCUAGUGUCAAACACACUCAUGUUCACUUUGACAACAGGAUGGAUUUUCAAUUGAGGUGAUCACACAAAGGCAAUACUUUAUGUAUCCAUAUUCAAAUAAUUUGACAGGUUUUGGGAUUUGUUUUAAAUGUUGCAUGUACCUGUAAUAUAAAGAUCUUUGGCUUGCCUACAAGGGUCCGGCACUUGUCUCCUUUGAAAGGAGCUGUGAUAUCCUGAAUUCUAAUGUUGCCAUCCAUGGUGCAAACAUGAUCUUUCUCACCAUGGCUCAGGAAGACGAGUAAGAAACAGUCUGCGUCUGAAUGGUCCGCUUCUGCAGCUGUUGAAUAUCAGGUGAUUGUUAACAAAAGUUGUGAACAAAAGUUACCUUUACCGUAAUAUCUGGAAUUUAUAAAAUGUCUUUAAAAUGUUAAUUACAGUAAUGAUUUAGUGCUGUCUUAUGAAUACAUGCAGAAUUAUCUGAAUGUCAUUUGUGAUCAUGCAUGUGCUUGAUGAUGCGACAUCUUUCGUUUUGCUGUCGUUAUACACCACCACUUUAAAGCCUAGCUCUUUCAAUCUUAACAAGAAAACAAGUAAACUAUAUCAUACAGUGCAUGAGGCAAUUCUUACAGGAAAAAAAUAACUACCACUUCACAAGUUAAGACAAGUUCUUACACACACAAACAUUAACGUCCUGUUCCCUGCUGCAGCUGGCUGAGAAUUUUUACCUUUUCUCCAAGUUGUUACGGUCAACUUCAGUCCCAUAGCGGGGUUUGCAUCCUGUGUAAAAGAGCUUCUGAUUAAAAAUGAGAGCAA